UACGUAGGGGGCUAGCGUUGUCCGGAUUUAUUGGGCGUAAAGAGCGUGUAGGCGGCCGAGUAAGUCCGGUGUGAAAACUCGAGGCUCAACCUCGAGACGCCGGUGGAAACCAUCAGGCUAGAGUCCGGAAGAGGAGAGUGGAAUUCCUGGUGUAGCGGUGAAAUGCGCAGAUAUCAGGAAGAACACCCGUGGCUAAGGCGGCUCUCUAGUACGGUACUGACGCUGAGACGCGAAAGCGUGGGGAGCGAACAGG
rnacentral:rRNA from 1 species